rnacentral:ribozyme from 11 species
GGAGACGUACAGGCAAAGAAAGGCCGGUGCAGAGAAAUGAAAUGAAGAAGAAAGGGAGAGAACAACGCGCCGCAUUGUCCGACCGUCUUUUCAUAACUGACUCACGCGGUUUCUUCUUGCCUUUUUUUUUUUUUUUGCUUCCUUUUUUU